ensembl:lncRNA
GGGCAAUACUUGUAUGUGUAUGUACACUAGGUGGCAGUGUGGCAUGUUUAAAACCGGAACUUACAGGAAAUGGAGUGAAAAAGGGGAAGAGCCAAAAACAAAGGAGGGUUGAUUAGAAAUAAUGAAGAUGAACUUUGUUUAUGGACGGGAAUGAUCACGUUGUGCGAAGUGUUUCCGAAGCCUGUAGCGUUUCUGAAGUGCUUUCACUCAUCUGUAUUAGCGCUAAGUGUUCCAUGCAUCGAAGCACCAGUGUUCCCAUUCACACACUCACAGCAUCAUGGAUGCCUUAGAACCUGCGGGCUGGUUAAAUUAUGAAAAUGACCGUUAUAACGACAGCUACGUUAUUUAUCUGUUAAAAAACAACACUACUGACAGCCAAAUUGUUCGAUGUUUUGUGCCGAGCGCGUUUAUCCUACUGAUUAGGAAGAUCGCAUUGAUAAACACCAACGCCAAAAACAAUACCGGAUUUGAGAUUCAGCCUUUGGUUUUAGCUGUAGUCUGCAUCUCCAGAGGACUCGCACUAGCAUUUAAUUUGCAUACCGUCACGUUUUGACGUCAUAAACCAUUUUUGAGUGAAACUAUUGGGACGGUUUGUACAGACAACAAAUCCGUCUUCACCGUCCGGAUCCACUUCAUGGAAAACCUCGACGUUACCAACAAUCCGUCCUCUCUCGAGCACUACCCUGUGACUCGGUGAAUUAGCAGGAGUAGGGGCGGACACACUCUUUAAAAUCAACAUUUUCUAACCAAUCAGAAUCAUGAAUUCAUUGUUGCUGUGGUAAAUGGUAUUUAUUUACAUUAAAAAAUAAUAAAAAAAAGUUUACAGGAGUCAAUAAGGUCAAAUUAAUGAUGUAAAAGAACACUUUGUAAUUUCUUUGCUUCUAUAAUUACACAAGCGUAUUAAAAAUGCACGUUUCCUCCAUAUAAACAGCAGCUAGAACUAUCCCAGAAGACCUGAAAGAUACGGUCUCGUAUUUCUACAAACUUUUCAUAACUACCUUCCUUUUUUAAAAAAAAAAAUAUAUAUAUAUAUAAAAAACUAAUUUACCAAUACAACUUAUUUUAUGAGUAUACCGUAUAUACAAUUUCAUAAUAUACAUAUGAGCAAGAAUAUUUUAGUUUACAAGUCUUACAGCCCUGAUUAAGUUAGCAAAACCUUACGUAAUUGAACUUGCUUUGCUCUUUGCAUCUUGCCCGCACGGCCUCUGUAAAACUGCGUCAUGUGAUUUAACCACAUGGUGUCACCGUUAAGGCUUAGCAAUAACAAUGUUAGCUUACGCUUGUUAGAGACCAUGACUCAACACAGGCUGCAGUCCAUCCAAAAUCGGUGACCGGAUAAGGAGAGCGUUCGUCAGAGAAGCGAGCAAAAGGUCAAGGGUCAAGCGAUCCACCUCUCAUAGGGGAGAAAGUUUUCACAGGACCUACCACACCCCGGACACGCCACAAAGCCGGGCUACGGAAGAGCGAGCGGGUCAUAUGGGAUCCCUUUUAGAGAGCCGAAGACUCGGCAAACGUGUGUAAAAUGCUUCUCUAGUCUGAGUCGCCGCACAAAAGCACUACAGUUGGUGGAAACUCGGCAAGAACGCCGUCCCUACAGUGAAGCACGGUGGCGGUAGAGUCACGUUGUAGAACGGUUUAAAACGAUCGACAUACUUACAAUACGUCUGAAUGGCCCAGUCGAAGCGGAGACUGCAAUCCGAUUCAGAAUACGUGGCAAGACUUGAAAAACGGUCUCUAUCCAACAUGGCAGAGCUUUUUGAAAUGAAGAAUGGAGAAAAAUAUCAGGAUCCAGAAACAUAUCCCAAAAGAUCUGAGGCAGAGAGGUAUUGACACGGGGUGCUGGGUUUUCUGUUUGUUUGGUUACUUGUUUGUUUAUUAACCUUUGGGUGAGAAUGAAAAAUGAUUUACCUUCGAAUGUUAAACCUUUUGUGUGAAGUAACAUUUCGGGGGUGGGGGGUUGAAUGAUUACACAAGACACUGUAUUUAAAUGAGUGCUACAGCUGAUGGAAAUCAGGAGAAGAUCUCGCGUGUACAGUGUUUUUUAAACUGACAUUUUCCACAGCGUGUGCUGCAGCUUUAGCACAGAACUGAAAGCGAGCCACUGACAAAAUGGCAUUCCUCCUCCUCCUCCUCCUCCUCUUAGCUAACUGCUAGAUGGAGAGAAUUACAUAAGGACACACACUCUGUCCAUGCCUCUAAUCCAAAUCAGGAAAAUACUGCUAAGCACACAGACACGCUGGCAACCGAGCAGCAAUAAUGUCACACAAAUACUGUCAGGGUUAUUCAUGCCAACUAAGUCGAAGUUUCAUCAUCAUCUAGGUUCUGCUAGGUCAUGACUCCAUUUGUGCCACAUUUACACAUGGUUACCAGUUGCUCAAUAUGUAGUUUGACCUCCGUGUUGUAUUACCUAGACUGAUUUAGGAAGGGUGAACAGAGUUAGGACAGUUUUUUUUUCUGCACCGCCUAGUCUACUGAUCAGCCUUUUUUUCUUCUUCUUCUUCUUCUUUUCUAAGUUUGGACAGUGUGCCAGAACCUGCAUUAUAUAACGUUUACCCGAUUAAUCACCCGAGCUACAACGAAUCAAGGCUUUAUGAUGAUGAUCAAAACUAAUCCUGACGCGUUGAUUUUUCUUUUUAAUCUUAACCAACGCCCCACCUCGAGUGACUCGAUUCCGAGUCGAUUCAUUUCCUAUCGCCUUUCCUACACGCACCAAGCAAGAUUCAUUUCGCAAACUGAACACACCGCGGAGGAUGAGAUGAGCUUAUGGAAGAAUGUAAAAGUUUAUAUGUUAUUAUUUAUUUAUUUUCUACUAAUAGCUCACCUUUUCUCGGCGUGUCUCACUCCGCCGGCGUCUCCGAUCAGCUGGCGAGAAGUGACGCGAUUUGUAACAGCUGGCUUCUGCUGCCUCAACGUCAAAGGUUACGGAUGACGAGCGACUUCCGUAGCUUCGACUCCAGCCAAUAGCGCGCAAGUGAAGGGGCGGGCUCAAUCUCUGCUAACCAAUUGGAAUCGUCGUUUUUCCAACGACGGUUCAUAUUCUGCCCAAUGGGACGCGUGUGAAAGUUUCCGAACGCGAAAGUUCUUUAGGGUGAGGCUUCAAGGCCUCGAGAAACCGUGUAAUAAUUAAAGGUGUAAUCGUCAAUCGUUUUCGUUUCUUAUUAAUACAAAUAAUAUUUACAUUAUGUUAAAAAAAAUGAUUUUUAAAAAAAUAGUUUACGACAUUUACGUAGCUGGGGGGGGACAUGGCUUCCGGUCCGGAAUGUUUGUUUAUAUUUAGAUUAACCUCUUGUCAGUCAUUUUUAUAGACACGCCCCCAAAACCCCUUCACAACUUCUGAGUCACAAUUCGCCUACUAUCCGUCCUAAAUAGUAUUCGAGGUUAGAAUUUCAUGACUAGUUGAACCACUAUGGCUGCAUAUACUUAUGUACUAUAUAGUAGGCGAAAAGCGCUACGCCAGAGGGGUAGUAUAUCCGAAUUCUAAGUAUGCGAGAAACAGUAGGUGAGAAAUCCCCGGAUGGCGUAUUGCUUCCGGCGAGAUUUUGCGGUAUGCAACCGAUGGACACUAUGCGAGUCAAACAAUCCCACAAUGCAACGGGACUGGCGCGGACAAGCUCAGAAAAAGAAGAAGGGGAAAAAAACGCGGAAGAUAGCAUCGGCUCUUAUGUGUUAAAUCUUGGUUAAACCGGACUUGUUUAACAAUACCCGAAUAAAUCGUUAACUCGUUUAAGAUUUGUGUUUAUGAUGACAUCGAAGGUCACAUGACAAUGCUAACAUGGUGGAUGUAGAAUGCCCGGGAUUGUAGUCAUAAUACACAUACAUACUGAUUAGUACGUACUGUUUCAACGGCAAUGCAGUACAUUUCGUACGCACCCUAUACGUUUUGGUGUACAUACAUGGGUAGAAACUGGACGUAAAAAAAAUAUCAUUCAAAUCUUAUUCAACCCCACCCAUUUAACAGUUAGAGGCCUUUUUCUGUUACACAUCUUCCUUAAUGCACCUUUAAAGUGAUUGUAAAGAAACUAAUUUUAUUUGUAGGUCUGUAGACACUCUCACACGUAGACACAGCUCUACAUCCCAGCGUAGAUUGCUUGCGUGGUUUAAGAUCAGAUUAGAUCGAUGGUAAAAUCUGGGGCUGGAUUCACAAAACAUUAUUAAGAAUAAAAUUCUUCUUAACUGCCAUUUCCUUCUUAUUUCCUAGCUUAAGAAAAAAAUGAAGAAUAUUUUGAAUUCCC